UGGGGACUAUUGGACAAUGGGGGCAACCCUGAUCCAGCAAUGCCGCGUGUGUGAAGAAGGCCUUCGGGUUGUAAAGCACUUUUAUCGGGAACGAAACAUUGUCGGCCAAUACCCGGCAAGACUGACGGUACCCGAGGAAUAAGCACCGGCUAACUCCGUGCCAGCAGCCGCGGUAAUACGGAGGGUGCAAGCGUUAAUCGGAAUUACUGGGCGUAAAGCGUGCGCAGGCGGUUUGUUAAGUCUGCUGUGAAAUCCCCGAGCUCAACUUGGGAAUUGCAGUGGAUACUGGCAAGCUGGAGUACGGUAGAGGAAGGUGGAAUUCCCGGUGUAGCAGUGAAAUGCGUAGAGAUCGGGAGGAACACCAGUGGCGAAGGCGGCCUUCUGGACCAGUACUGACGCUCAUGCACGAAAGCGUGGGGAGCAAACA
rnacentral:rRNA from 1 species